UUUCUGCCCAGUGCUCUGAAUGUUAAAGCGAAGAAAUUCGACCAAGCGCGGGUAAACGGCGGGAGUAACUAUGACUCUCUUAAGGUAGCCAAAUGCCUCGUCAUCUAAUUAGUGACGCAUGAAUGGAUUAACGAGAUUCUCACUGUCCCUACUUACACCCCGGCGAAACCACAGCCAAGGGAACGGGCUUGGCGGAAUCGGCGGGGAAAGAAGACCCUGUUGAGCUUGACUCUAGUCGAACGUCGAGGAACAGCACGGACGAACGUAGCAUAGGUGGGAGGCUCCGGCCGAACCUGAAAUACCACCGUCUCCGUCGUUGUUCUUCUCAUUUGGUGGUGUAGGGAUGGGGCGAAGCCCCUUUUUCUGGAGACGGCCGCGACGCGCGCCCGUCCGGGCUCCGUCGCUCGCGCGAGCGAGCGGCGGGGUCCGGCAGGCCUCCGCCCGCGGCGCCUAAUCCGAAGACGUCGUUCGGUGGGGAGUUUGGCUGGGGCGGCACAUCCGUUAAAAGGCAACGCGGGUGUCCAAAGGGGAGCUCGGCGAGAAGGGAAAUCUCGCGUCGAACGAAAGGG
rnacentral:rRNA from 1 species